ACCCUAGGGCCCUCGGGGGGCCAAAAAAUCACGGAAAAACGGAGCUUACCGGCGGCGGCGCUCUCGGGUGCAGCGGCUCUCCGGUGAGGUUCGUGUUUUGGUGAUUCGGCUCCGGUCAACCUGUAGAGAAAAGAAUGGUGAUCACGGUGAUAUAAAAAUUGCAUCGAACGGAGGCCGGGAAGGGCCUCGUCGGAGGCAAAAAACGAGAGGGG
rnacentral:lncRNA from 1 species